CAGAAACAGACGUAUUUCUGGAACCCUUGGUUCCGCCCUGGACGAAUGUCCAAGGGUUGUUUGUAAUUUUGGUUUGGGAUACCAUUCUUCUGCCGCGGGGUUUGUCUUGUCUGAUGUCUGUCCUGUUUUUGCUGUUUGUGUCUGUCUCCGAACUAACCACCGCCCCCUUCAGUCUGACUUUUGACCACUGGACAGAUGUUAAGGACCAUAGUUAGUCAGUUAAAGUUCUGACACCCCCUUUUGUUGAGUCACGUGGAGCCACACUAGGUAACUUUCUUUUCUGGCCCGUGUUUCUGUACGGUUUCUGUAUGCCUGGAGGGUUGGAACCGGCUGGGUGACUGAGCAUGUUUGUUAUCUGAUCUGUUGCAGUCCACGCCCUCACUGCCUGCUUGUGUAUCAGUUUUACUAUUUCUGUUAAUUUUGUGGAUAUGGAGGUCCUAUGUUGGGGUUUCUGGCGACAUCUUUUAUAAUAUCAGACAGACUGCCAGAUCCUGACAGUGACUCAAAGUCUCCAAAGAAGAUUAUGAGGCACCCCAGUUCCUGCACCUGGACCAGUGAGCGAGAUGCUCAGAUGUGAUACCUGCCACCUGCCAGGACCUGGCCAAGACUGUGGACAAAGCCGCUGGACACUGGAAAAUUGAUUGCACCCCCUUUGCCUAGACAAAACAAGGUUUCUGCUUCUGGCACACAUCUGAGUAUCAGUUGCUGACUACAGGCUGUUCUAAGUAGACUGAGAGCCCUGGACUUGCUGUGGAUGUGAACCAGUCCAGCUGAUAUGGACACCCUCUGUCUCUGCAACAGAGUCUGCCAACAGCCCCUGAUGGAUUCCCCAUUGCCUAAAUUCCUUUUUUUGCUUUUGACUAGCAUUUCAACCUUCUGGGGUCCCUAACUUCGUCCCAAAGUCAGCAGGAAAUAGCACGGGAAAGAAUUCGCCACCCAUUUUUCCCUGGUUAAAAUGCUAAGUCAGAAGGGACUACCUUGUAUGGGGGCGCUAGAGAGACAACAAUUCCAUAAUUGGAAUUUCAAAAAAAAAAAUGGGGGAAUGAAGGGACCAGCCCCCCAUUUCGGCAGCCAUGACAGUAACACUUGCUCGCUAUGACCUUGCCUUGGUCACUAAGAGGUCAGAUGCCUGCCUCGUGGCAAGGAGCCAAUCAGAAGUUAACUGGUGGUGCUAUGCUUUAUGGCUCUGGGUGUACUUUAUGGACAAGUGCACAGCAAUGACUCGCAGGGCAUAGCAACCACCCUGGGAGGGCCUAUGGGCCAUAACAACCAGUUGGCCAAUCAACACAGGGCAAGCCCUCCAAGCCUGGAGGCACACCAAUCCUGAGUCUGUGCAUACCCCUAGACACUCCCCUUACGCUGCCCUACAAGAUCGCUCAGGAGCCAGUUCGAGGUGUCUUUGCUAGCCAUCCGCCAUGGCGGGUAAGUGAAAGACCCGAGCUAACAUGGGGUUAGCGCGAUAAAAAAACAAUAGAGCCUCAUGCAGUUUGCAUCAAAAAAAGAAAAAUAUCUAUUCUCAAUACAAGAACAAAAUAACUUAUUAAAAGACUGAAAAUUCACCAAGUUUAUCUUCAGAAUACUAUGUGAGGAGUUAGUUAGGAGGAUUGCAAUGCACUGCACAAAAUACUAGAAUAACUAAUUAUGUAAAUGAUGAAAAGGGGGGAAAAGAGAACUUGAAUGUAUAACUCUCACUUGUCAAAAGCAGUACCAGAGUCAAUUUCACAUCUCCAUUCCUGGGGUUCAGCAUGGGUGUCACCAUUGCAUGCAUAACUGAAACAAUUGUAUCCCUAAAUUAGGAGCUGUUUGAGGAAGGAAAGAAAUAAAUAAUUGCAAGAGUCCUGUGGUGUAAAAUUGCUAGGAAGAGGUGGGGAGCCACAAGUGGGUAGAACUUUGCAAGUCUUCUUAGUGGAGGUGCCCCUUAGUACAGUACCCCCAGGGCAGACAUAACAACCCAAAAUGGUACCCAGGGCAGGAGAGUCAACACUCCUCCCUCAGUGAAGAUCACUAACUCAUUGAAAUAGGUGUCUAAGCAGGACAACUUCAAGGGCUUAUUGAGAUCAUAGGACAGGUGAGGUAUGGAUGGGACAGGAUGGAAUAUGCAACAGGCAUGCACACAAGAAGUGAAUCAACCCAGCCACACACAGCUCCUCCCUCAUUAUAAUGGUGAAGUAUGGUGGGUGGAAGAUGGCCACAUACCUGCUGUCAUAAGGCCAUCACUCCAAGAAGCAAAUUGCCAACAUAUACAAAAAGUAAGAAAAAGUACAUUGGGGAAGCACCCCUCAUAAGGAACACUUAGG
ensembl:lncRNA